GAGGAUAUAGCUCAGUGGUAGAGCAUUCGACUGCAGAUUGAGUGGUCCCCUGUUCAACCCCGGGAGUCAUCUUCU